rnacentral:snRNA from 1 species
GGAUGUGAGGGUGAUCUGGCUGUGACAUCUGUCCCCCCAUUGAUCGCCAGGGUUGAUGUGGCUGAUCGGCUGGCUAGGCGGGUGUCCCCUUCCUCCCUCACGCUCCAUGUGCAUCCCUUCCACAGCUGCGCACUCAGUGGAAGAGGACGACCUUCCCUGAUAGAGCAGCGUGUAUCAAGGGUAUAUGAGUAGCUGCACUCCCCUGCUAGAACCUCCAAACGAGCUCUCAAAAAUAGGUCAGUAGUCAGCAAAUAUCAUUGUAGAACCUGGGCUAAAGGCAGUAGGAGGCGGUUUAAAUAG